rnacentral:rRNA from 1 species
ACCCCUACGGGGGGCAGCAGUGGAGAAUAUUGCACAAUGGAGGAAACCCUGAUGCAGCCAUGCCGCGUGUGUGAAGAAGGCCUUCGGGUUGUAAAGCACUUUCAGCGAGGAGGAAAGGUUGUUGGCUAAUACCCAACAGCUGUGACGUUACUCGCAGAAGAAGCACCGGCUAACUCCGUGCCAGCAGCCGCGGUAA